GUGCUAUUCCUAUCCUCAUGUUUCAGAUAGAGAAACUGAAGCACGGAGAGGUUAUGCAGCUUGCCCAGGUUCACGCAGCUGGUAAGCACAGUGUCGGAGUCCAUGUUCUUAUCACUCAAGAUGUUCUGUUGGGGACAGCAUGCCGUGGUCUUGAGGUCACAGUCAAUGCCAAUGACCUAUAUGGCAAUAGGACAUGCUGAAGUGAGCGGGGCUAGGCAGCAGGUUUCUUCAGUCCUCAGAAUUUUUACUGACAUGGUGAGAGCCACAUUAGAAGAAAGAGAAAUAAUUGUGUGAAGCGGUUGCUGCUGAGUAGUAAGAAAGAGCCACUGUGUGCUUAUUACUGCCUCUGAGCUUGAUUAUUACAGGCUGGGAAGAGGUGUAGGAAGUGGGAGCAAGAAGAGAAAAUAGCUUCACUAUUUUCAAAGAUGUAUUGUUUUAUAAUGCACAUUGAAAUGGAAAUGGAUAACAGUAGAGAUAUGGUUUUAUCCAACCAUAGGAAUUAUUUUCAUAAGAGAAUGAACAAAAUUUAAAAAUACAUUUGGCCAAUAGAUUUUCCCUGAAAUUUGAGAACCCUUAUCUGGUGGAUAUUUGCCACAUGAUUACUAAAUUUAGUGGCAUACUUUUUUUUUUUUUUUUUUGUGAGACGAAGUCUCGCUCUGUCACCCAGGUGGAGUGCCGUGGCGCGAUCUUGGCUCACUGCAACCCCUGCCUCCCGGGUUCAAGUGAUUCUCCAGCCUUGGCCUCUUGAGUAGCUGGGACUACAGGCAUGCAUAGUGGCAUACUCUUUUAAUAGAAACAUUUGUUUCCCAAGAAACUAGGGCCAAGCAUGGUGGCUAAUGCCCGUAAUCCUAGCACCUUGGGAGGCUCAGGCAGAAGGAUUGCUAGAGCACGAAGGUUGAGACUGUAGAGAGCUGUGAUUGCAGCACUGCACUCCAGACUGGAUGACAGAGUGAGACCUGACUCAAGAAGAGGAAAAAAAAAAAAGGAAGGAAGGAAGAAAGGAAGGAAAAGAGAAAGAAACUAGCUGUUUUCCUGAUGUCUUAAAUAGGGGCAUUUUGAUUUUAUCUACUGCUAUAUACUGAUUUUCUCUUGUAAAUAAAUAGUAGGCAGUCAUUAAAGUACCACUACCAAAAAAGUGUUG
rnacentral:lncRNA from 1 species